GACGAACGCUGGCGGCGUGCUUAACACAUGCAAGUCGAACGGAGUGGCGAACGGGGGAGUAACACGUGGGUGAUCUGCCUUGCACUUCGGGAUAAGCUUGGGAAACUGGGUCUAAUACCGGAUAGUGCAAGAUGAGCUCGCGGCCUAGGCUCUUGGUGGUGGGGUAAUGGCCUACCAAGGAGUCGACGGGUAGCCGGCCUGAGAGGGUGUAAGGCCACAUUGGGACUGAGAUAGCGGCCAGAGUCCGACUGGAGGCAGCAGUGGGGAAUAUUGCACAAUGGGCGGAAGCCUGAUGCAGCGACGCCGCGUGGGGGAUGAAGGCCUUCGGGGUGUAAACUCCUUUCGACAGGGACGCGGUACCUGUAUAAGAAGCACCGGCUAACUACGUGCCAGCAGCCGCGGUAAUUC
rnacentral:rRNA from 1 species